rnacentral:rRNA from 1 species
CCUACGGGGGGCAGCAGUGGGGGAUAUUGCACAAUGGGGGGAACCCUGAUGCAGCGACGCCGCGUGGGUGAAGAAGUAUUUCGGUAUGUAAAGCCCUAUCGGCAGGGAAGAAAUUGGACGGUACCUGACUAAGAAGCCCUGGCUAACUACGUGCCAGCAGCCGCGGUAAUACGUAGGGGGCAAGCGUUAUCCGGAUUUAUUGGGUGUAAAGGGUGCGUAGACGGAGAAACAAGUUGGUUGUGAAAUCCCUCGGCUCAACUGAGGAACUGCAACCAAAACUAUUUCCCUUGAGUGUCGGAGAGGAA